GAUGAACGCUAGCGGCAGGCCUAACACAUGCAAGUCGAGGGGUAGAAGCUUUCGGGCUUUGAGACCGGCGCACGGGUGCGUAACGCGUAUGCAAUCUGCCUUGUACUGAGGGAUAGCCCAGAGAAAUUUGGAUUAACACCUCAUAGUAUUUUUGCCUGGCAUCAGGUGAUUAUUAAAGGUUACGGUACAAGAUGAGCAUGCGUACCAUUAGCUAGUUGGUAUGGUAACGGCAUACCAAGGCUACGAUGGGUAGGGGUCCUGAGAGGGAGAUCCCCCACACUGGUACUGAGACACGGACCAGACUCCUACGGGAGGCAGCAGUGAGGAAUAUUGGUCAAUGGGCGCAAGCCUGAACCAGCCAUGCCGCGUGCAGGAUGAAGCAUCUAUGGUGUGUAAACUGCUUUUGUACGGGAAGAAACACUGCUACGUGUAGCAGCUUGACGGUACCGUAAGAAUAAGGAUCGGCUAACUCCGUGCCAGCAGCCGCGGUAA
rnacentral:rRNA from 1 species